GAGAAUGUUUAAUUGGGUAAUUACCCAGGUUCAGUUCUCUGAACUUGCUUAAUUCCCUGGAUAACAAAAAAAAGGAAAGAGGGGUAACUUACCAGUCAGAUAUCUACUCCCUUUUUAAAUGUUAUAUAGACCUGGAUACUUAGCUUGUUUGUGCAACCCUAGUCAAUUUGCACAGCUUCGUUUGUACCAUUUUUUUGGAAGAGGCAAAAUAAGUUCUGUUCUCAAAAUAGAGUCACCACAGGUGGAAACAUAACACUUGU
rnacentral:lncRNA from 1 species